GAAUGCUUUACGGUUCAAAUGGAUUCGUCCGCCCAAGGAUGGGUCUGCGGCCUAUCAGGUAGUAGCAGGUGUAAUGUACCUGCUAGCCAACGACGGGUACGGGUUGUGAGAGCAAGAGCCCGGAGAUGGAUUCUGAGACAUGAAUCCAGGCCCUACGGGGCGCAGCAGGCGCGAAAACUUUACAAUGCGGGCAACCGUGAUAAGGGGACACCGAGUGCCAGCAACAAUUGCUGGCUGUCCAUGUGCUUAAAUUGCACGUGUUAGCAAGGGCCGGGCAAGACCGGUGCCAGCCGCCGCGGUAACACCGGCGGCCCGAGUGGUGAUCGUUAUUAUUGGGUCUAAAGGGUCCGUAGCCGGUUUAGUCAGUCCUCCGGGAAAUCUGCCAGCUUAACUGGUAGGCUAUCGGGGGAUACUGCUAGACUUGGAACCGGGAGAGGUAAGAGGUACUACA
rnacentral:rRNA from 1 species